AUUGAACGCUGGCGGCAGGCCUAACACAUGCAAGUCGAACGGUAACAGGAAGCAGCUUGCUGCUUCGCUGACGAGUGGCGGACGGGUGAGUAAUGUCUGGGAAGCUGCCUGAUGGAGGGGGAUAACUACUGGAAACGGUAGCUAAUACCGCAUAAUGUCGCAAGACCAAAGAGGGGGACCUUCGGGCCUCUUGCCAUCGGAUGUGCCCAGAUGGGAUUAGCUUGUUGGUGGGGUAACGGCUCACCAAGGCGACGAUCCCUAGCUGGUCUGAGAGGAUGACCAGCCAACCCGGAACUGGGACACGGUCCAGACUCCUAAGGGAGGGAGCAGGUGGGAAUAUUGGACAAUGGGGGGAAGCCUGAUGCAGCCCUGCCGGGUGGAAGGAGGAGGCCUUCGGGGUGUAAAGUACUUUCAGCGGGGAGGAAGGGAGUAAAGUUAAUACCUUUGCUCAUUGACGUUACCCGCAGAAGAAGCACCGGCUAACUCCGUG
rnacentral:rRNA from 1 species